rnacentral:rRNA from 1 species
GAUGAACGCUGGCGGCGUGCCUAAUACAUGCAAGUCGAGCGAAUGGAUUAAGAGCUUGCUCUUAUGAAGUUAGCGGCGGACGGGUGAGUAACACGUGGGUAACCUGCCCAUAAGACUGGGAUAACUCCGGGAAACCGGGGCUAAUACCGGAUAACAUUUUGAACCGCAUGGUUCGAAAUUGAAAGGCGGCUUCGGCUGUCACUUAUGGAUGGACCCGCGUCGCAUUAGCUAGUUGGUGAGGUAACGGCUCACCAAGGCAACGAUGCGUAGCCGACCUGAGAGGGUGAUCGGCCACACUGGGACUGGGACACGGCCCAGACUCCUACGGGAGGCAGCAGUAGGGAAUCUUCCGCAAUGGACGAAAGUCUGACGGAGCAACGCCGCGUGAGUGAUGAAGGCUCUCGGGUCGUAAAACUCUGUUGUUAGGGAAGAACAAGUGCUAGUUGAAUAAGCCGGCACCUUGACGGUACCUAACCAGAAAGCCACGGCUAACUACGUGCCUGCAGCCGCCGCGG